rnacentral:lncRNA from 1 species
UGUUCUCAAAUUACUAUGCUCAUUACAAUAAAAGCUAAUAAACAUAAUUAGACACUUAUUUUUACUUUAUUGGCACUAUUUAAAAAUUAAACAUUAUUAAUAGAAACAAAUAUUAAACCAUGCACAACAAACACUAUUAACACUUCCGCACAAACAAGCAGACGCAGCAUAACGCAUCUUGUGAGGUGGAGGCUCCGCCCAUAGAACGAAUCGCGCCCCGUUGCUAUAGCAACUCUGGAACUUUGGAAUGCGAUUUCUCUGAUUCUCUGGAUUUGUCUGUUGGCUCUCAAAUAUUUACAUGUGUAUUUCUAUGGUUGACUCUUACGACACCCACACUGCAAGUUGCAAAUUGACUGUACAUUUUACAGCAGUAAUUAACAUCACAGUAUCUCAGUUAUACUGUACAUCUCCCAUGAUGGAGAAGAAAUGCAAAAAGAACUUUUGGACGACACUUUUUGGCAAUAAAAGAGCUAGUAAAAAAUCCAGCAGUAACACUAGCUCCAGUGAAGCUGAGAAGAAGGACCAGGGUGUGGAUGCUGCCAUGCUACAGUCUCUAAAAGAUGCUGAGGAAGCUGCAGUCCACACCAGGUCUGACUGGAAUGCUAAUGGGGCGCAAGAAAGACAGAAGGAGAAAUCCAAGAGCAAAAAGAACCUCUGGAAAGUCCUCCUCAAAGCUGUUGGCUGCUCUAACAUUGACACUGCCCUCGUCAAUGACGCCACUGAAAAGCCCUUUGAGCCCAACUGGACUGCUGAAACCCCUGAAGAUCUGUUCAGCAUUAAGUCCAACAGCAUUGAUGAUGUCUCUGAAGCUCCGGUCAGCUUGGAGUUUAGCAGCAUUGAUGACACCCCUGAAGUUCUGGUCAGCACUGAUUCCGACUGGAUUGCAGACACCCUUGAGGCUCUGGACAGCGUUUGGUCCAAAUGGGUCGCUGAGCCCCGUAUAGCAUCAGUCAACAUUGAGUCUGACUGGAUUGCUUAUGACCAUAAAACUCCUGUCAGUAUGGUUUCCAAUUGGAUUGCUGACUGUAUUCCUGAAGUCAAUAAAUAUCCAGUCAGCAUAGAAUCCAACUGGACUGCUGACGCACCUGCAGUCCCUGAGGCCUCUGAAAGUCCAGUCUGUGUGGUGUCCGGCUGUGCUCCUGAUGUCUGUGAAACCUAUGAAGGUCCAGUCUGCAUGGUGUCUGACUGUGUUCCUGAUACCUCUGAUGGUCCAGUCUGUGAGGUGUCAGACUGUGUUCCUGAUGCUUCUGAGGCCCCUGAGAGUGCAGUCUGCAUGGUGUCAGGCUGUGUUCCUGAUGCUUCAGAGGCCCAUGAAGGUCCACUCUGUGUGGUGUCCGACUGUGCUCCUGAUGUCUCUGAAGCCUAUGAAGGUCCAGUCUGCAUGGUGUCUGACUGUGUUCCUGAUACCUCUGAUGGUCCAGUCUGUGAGGUGUCCGACUGUGUUCCGGACGCUUCUGAGGCCCCUGAGAGUGCAGACUGCACGGUGUCCGGCUGUGUUCCUGAUGCUUCAGAGGCCCAUGAAGGUCCACUCUGUGUGGUAUCCGACUGUGCUCCUGAUGUCUCUGAAGCCUAUGAAGGUCCAGUCUGUGUUGUGUCGGACUGUGUUUCUGAUGCUUCUGAGGACCCUGAGAGUGCAGUCUGCAUGGUGUCCGGCUUUGUUCCUGAUGCUUCUGAGGUCCAUACAGGUCCAGUCUGUGUGGUGUCUGACUGUGUUCCUGAUUCCUCUGAGGGUCAUGAAGAUCCAGUCUGCAUGGUGUCUGACUGUGUUCCUGGUGCCUUUGUAUCUCCGGUCUGCAUUAAGCCUGCCUGUACUGCUGGGGCCCCUGAUGCUGGACCCAGAUUGAGUCAGACUGAAGUGCUGACCCCCUUCGACAUCCAACUCCCACUGAGUUCGACUGGAGUGCUGACCCCUCUGAAGCUCUGGUCUGCGCUGAGUCUGACUGGACUGCUGAGGCCCUGGAAGCUUCGGUCAGCAUUGAGUCAGGUGGGAGUACAGACACCCUGGAAGCUCCGGAUGGCAUUGAGUCCAGUUGGAGUGCUGAUGCCCUUCAACCUACAGCUUGCACUGAGGCAGAUUGGACUACUGGAGCCCUUCAACUGCACUUUUUAGUCCAUAUUUCCAUCUACAUUUUAUCAUAUUAUCUUAUAUAUAAUAUUAUGUGUAAUAUAAUUGUUGUGUAAAUAAAAUUUGUUUGCAAUCAAAAUUAAAUGG